UUUUUUCUUGACUUAAAAUCUUUGAAACGUUUCAAAUAUGGAUGAUAUUUUACUUUUAUACAAGGGUUUGUUUACCUGAUAUUGAUACAGCUUCAAGGGUUUACUAUGAAACAAAUGGUGUAUCCAUGGAAGACAUGUGAAACUAUCUGGUGUUCUCAUGGACUAACCAAGGGUUCACUGGUUUACCUUAAUUGUCCUGUCCAAUUUAUGUUUAAAUCUACAAAGAUGGAGAUGCUAUUUUGCUCAACGGUAGUUGAUAUUUCUUUCUUACUUGAGCCAAUGGUUCUAACUAGAAAGAUCUUUAAGGCAUGGAAUUCUUGUUCUCAAAAAUCCAAAGGUGAGGAGACUGGCG